GUGAGGAAUAUUGGGCAAUGGAGGCAACUCUGACCCAGCCAUGCCGCGUGCAGGAUGACGGUCCUAUGGAUUGUAAACUGCUUUUAUACGGGAAGAAACACCCCCUCGUGAGGGGACUUGACGGUACCGUAAGAAUAAGGAUCGGCUAACUCCGUGCCAGCAGCCGCGGUAAUACGGAGGAUCCAAGCGUUAUCCGGAAUCAUUGGGUUUAAAGGGUCCGUAGGCGGCCUUAUAAGUCAGUGGUGAAAUCUCCUAGCUCAACUAGGAAACUGCCAUUGAUACUGUAGAGCUUGAAUUAUUGUGAAGUAACUAGAAUAUGUAGUGUAGCGGUGAAAUGCUUAGAUAUUACAUGGAAUACCAAUUGCGAAGGCAGGUUACUAACAAUAUAUUGACGCUGAUGGACGAAAGCGUGGGUAGCGAACAGGAUUAGAAACCCGUGUAGUCC
rnacentral:rRNA from 1 species